rnacentral:rRNA from 1 species
GUUUGAUCAUGAAAGCAGAUUGAACGUGCGCCGGGACCUUUACGCUUGCAAGUCGAGCAGCAGCACGGACUUCGGUCUGGUGGCGAGUGGCGAACGGGUGAGUAAUGUAUCGGAACGUGCCUAGCGGGGGAUAACUACGCGAAAGCGUAGCUAUUCACAUACGCCCUUCGGGGAAAGCGGGGACGCUUCGGGCCUCGCACUGAUAGAGCAGCGAUAUCGGAUUAGCUGGUUGGUGGGAUAACGGCUCACCAAGGCGACGAUCCGUAGCUGGUUCGAGAGGACGAUCAACCACACUGGGACUGAGACACGGCCCAGACUCCUACGAGGCUUGGCAGUGAAAUUUUGGACAAUGGGGAAACCUGAUCAACCAUCCCGCGUGUGCGAUGAAGGCCUUCGGGUUGUAAAGCACUUUUGGCAGAAAGAAACGGCACGGGAUAAUACCCGUGCAGCUGUGUACCUGCAGAAUAAGCACCGGCUAACUACGUGCCAGCAGCCGCGGUAAUACGUAAGUGCAAGCGUUAAUCAGGAGUACUGGGCGUAAAGCGUGCGCAGGCGGUUCGGAAGAAGAUGUGAAAUCCCAGAGCUUAACUUUGGAACUGCAUUUUAACUACCGAGCUAGAGUGUGUCAGAGGGAGGUGGAAUUCCGCGAUGGCCAACAUGAUGAAAUGCGUAGAUAUGCGGAGGAACACCGAUGGCGAAGGCAGCCUCUGGGAUAACACUGACGCUCAUGCACGAAAGCGUGAGGAGCAAACAGGAUUAGAUACCCUGGUAGUCCACGCCCUAAACGAUGUCAACAAGCUGUUAGGGCCUUCGGGCCUUGGUAGCGCAGCUAACGUGAAGUUGACCGCCUGGGAAGUCACGGUCGCAAGAUUAAAGCCUCAAGGAAUUGACAGGGAUCACACAAGCGGUGGAUGAUGUCAGGUCCCAAUUCGAUGCAACGCGAAAAACCUUACCUACCCUUGACAUGUCUGGAAUCCCGAAGAGAUUUGGGAGUGCUCGCAAGAGAACCGGAACACAGGUGCUGCAUGGCUGUCGAUGACUCGUGUCAGCGUGAGAUGUUGAGUUAAGUCGCAACGAGCGCAACCCCUUGUCAUUAGUUGCUACGAAAGGGCACUCUAAUGGGGCCUGCCGGUGACAAACCGGAGGAAGGUGGGGAUGACGUCAAGUCCUCGCGGCGCCGCGGGUAGAGACUACCCCACGUCUUCUAAUGGUCGGGACAGAGAGGGGUCGCCAACCCGCGGGGGCAAUCCCAGAGAGCCUGAUCGUGAUCCGGAUCGCAGUCUGCAACUCGACUGCGUGAAGUCGGAAUCGCUAUUAAUCGCGGAUCAACAUGUCGCAGUGAAUACGUUUCCCGAGUCUUGUACACACCGCCCGUCACUACCAUGGGAGUGGUUUUACCAGAAGUAGUUACACCAGCCCCAACCGCAGCCAGGAGGCAGUUACGACCAGGUUCAUGACUGGGGUGAAGUCGUAACAAAGUG